ensembl:snoRNA SNORD58 Small nucleolar RNA SNORD58
UUGCUGUGAUGACUAUCUUAGGACACCUUUGGAAUGACCAUGAAAAAAAUAAGCUUUCUUCUGAGCAAC